rnacentral:lncRNA from 1 species
GCCCCCACGGAGGGCGGCGAAGAGACGGCGCAUCAGGAAAGGGGCUGCGCGGGCGCGAGGACUGGCCGGUGGGCGUUCCGGCGCCGCGAACCGCGGAGCCUGCAACUUACAAGUAGGACGUUGAAGAAAGGACAAGCCCCCUUUGUCCUGGACGUAAGCCGCAAGUCGUCCUGAGUGGUGCACACCGCGAAGACUGAGGAAACUGGAUCACAGGGCUGGGCCGUGAGCCUUGAACCUCGGAGAACGUCGCAUUACUGCUCCAGCGCGCCGGUUCAGGGCCGCGGGACGCGAGCCCUUUAAAAGGAUGGAUUUGCUUCCUGUGACUCCCUGGAAGAGACGUCUUCACCACCGCACUGCGUAGAGGCCGGCGUCGUCGCCGGCUCACCCCGCUUGCUGCCUCCCCGCACAAAGCCCAGCCCAGGUAGCUCAGGUUAGCUGGAGCCCCGGAGCCUCACCUACAAGUACCUGGCCUGUCCUAGGUUGUGUGGGGACGGGAUGUGGCUUCUGCAAGCCCAGAAACCUGUUUCCACUCCCCCACCACAAAUGGAACUCACCCAGCUCUACUCGCAAGGUUAGGAGCCAAAAAUUCCCAUGAUCGCACGCGAAUUCAUUUGACUUCCGUUUCAGUUAAGAUGCCUUUUCAGCAUUUUGUUGCUUGUUUGCAGAAGGGAGAGAGGUAGGAUCAAGAAUAGUUUUUACUCCUGCAGAGUCGAGUGCGAGACUUGGAGGCUGAGUCCAGGCGCUCUCCCCUCCCCGCCAGUCCCGUGUCCUGGAGCAGGUCACUGACCUGGUUCCUCGAGUGCGACAGCGCAGCCUCAUCGUAAUAAACCGCCUCCCAAAGCGUUGUCAGAUCAAAUUCCAGAACAUGUUACUGGAAAGCACCUUGAACACUCUAAACUGCAGCACAGUUAUUAGUUAGCAAUACUCUUUGGGGUUUCACUGGCACCUUUUCUAACAAAUAAGAUUGAUAGAUGCCUGCUCAAACAAAUUGAAGUGCUUGUCUCAGAUGACACACUUGGCAGGCAUGGGACGUUCACAGGCCAACUAGAGAGCUAAUUUCAAAACUGAGAUAUAAAAGUGUAUCGCUGUACUUACAAGUUACCAAGUGUUGAGAAAUUACUCACUUUCAUUUGUGUGUUUAAUGUCUUUUUUGUUUUUUUAGACGGAGUCUCACUCUGUUCCCCAGGCUGCAGUGCAGUGGCAUGAUCUCGGCCCACUGCAACCUCCGCUUCCUGGGUUCAAGCAAUCCUCACAUUUCAGCCUCCCGAGUAGCUGGGAUUACAGGCGCGCACCACCAUGUCCAGCUAAUUUUUAAAAAUAUUUUUAGUAGAGACGGGGUUUCGCCAUGUUGGCCAGGCCGGUCUCAAACUCCUGGCCUCCAGCAAUCCGCUGGCCUCGGCCUCCUGAAGUGCUAGGAUUACAGGCGUGAGCCACCGCGCCUGGCCUGUUUAAUGUCUUGCAGUGGGGUCAUCUCCGAAACAAAGAGGGAUGGGAAGAAGGUAGGUGCCAAGAAGUCUGCUGGUUGGAAGAUUUCAUCUCAUUGGCGAGAUCCCUGGGUUUCUCCACCUCAGCAGUGUUGGCUUUUGGGAUGGGAUAAUCCUUUCAUGUGGGGUCUGUUCCAUGCUUUGUAGGAUGUUUGACAGCAUCCCUGGCCUCCACCCACUAGAUGCCAGUAGCACACACACUCCUCCAAAAUUCACGGAAAACGUCUUCAAAGUCAAAUAUGUGGCCCCACCUUCAUCUCCAUCCCCAACCCCUGAUUUAAAAUUUGCCACUGGUGAUGAUCUCAUUGGGAGCUAUUGAGAAUACACAGGACUGUGGUUUACACCUGUAAUCCCAACACUUUGGGAGGCUGAGGCUGGAGGAUGGCUUGAGCCCAGGAGUUUGAGACCAGCCUGGGCAACAUAGCAAGACCCCAACUCUAAAAUAAAUAAAAUUUUAAAAAAUUUUAAAAAGGCCAAGAACAGUGGCUCUCACCUGUAAUCCCAGCACUUUGGGAGGCCGAGGCAAGUGGAUCACUUGAGGUCAGGAGUUUGAGACCAGCCUGGCCAACACAGUGAAACCCCAUCUCUGCUAAAAAUACAAAAAUUAGCGAGGCGUGGUGGUGCACGCCUGUAAUCCCAGCUGCUCCAGAGACUGAGGCAGGAGAAUCGCUUGAACCCAGGAGGCAGGGUUUGCAGUGAGUCGAGACUGUGCCACUGCACUCCAGCCUGGGUGACGGAGUCAAACUCCAUCUCAAAAAAAAAUACACAGGAUUGUGGCUCAUGCCUGUAAUACCGGCACUUUGGGAGGCCAAGGUGGUAGGAUGGCUUGAGCCCAGGAGUUCAGGACCAGCCUGGGCAACAUAGCAAGACCCCAACUGUACAAUAAAUAAAUAAAAUUUUUUAAAAUGAAACAAAGGCCGGCCAGCUGCAAUGGCUCACGCCUGUAAUCCCAGCACUUUGGGAGGCCGAGGCAGGCAGAUCACUUGAGGUCAGGAGUUCUAGACCAGCCUGGCCAACGUGGUGAAACCCCAUUUCUACUAAAAAUAUAAAAAUUAGCCAGCCGUGGUGGCAGGCACCAGUAAUCCGAGCUAUUUAGGAGGCUGAGGCAGGAGAAUCGCUUGAACCCAGGAGGCAGGGGUUACAGUGAGCCGAGAUUGCACCACUGCACUCCAGCCUGGACAACAAGAGUGAGACUCCAUCUCAAAAAAAAAAAAUUAAAAAUAAAAGAAUGCACAGUCCAGUAAUGUCACCCAGCCCUAUAUCAGUAAAGGUCACACUCUAGAGUGGUACAUAUCUCAGCUGCAUCUAAGGCCUUGCUAAUUAGCUCAUUAGAAUGUCACAAAUGGGUUUUUAUAUUACCCAUGUAUAGCUGCCAAAAAUGUUUAAGUGAAUCUAAUCAAAGUUGGAAAAAAAAAUAAGAAAAAUCCAGGUUGGAAGACAUUCAGCAAAACAAUUUCCCUGCACUACACUCUAAAAAAAGUCAAGCUAGGGAAUUGGUCCAGACAGAUAACACAACUGGGUUGGUCCAUUAAGUGACCCCUGAUGCAGCACUGCAUUGAAGGCAAAAAAGCUGUGAGAGAGAUUUGAGGGACAACUGGGGAACUUUGUAGUUAUAUAUGGACUAUAUAUUAGACAGUAUUAUUGUAUCAUCAUUAGAUUUUUCAGUGUGACAGUGGCUAUUUACAAGAAUGCCCUAGUUCUUAGGAUGUUAGUGCUGAAUCAUUAGACAAGAGACCUGAUGGCUACAACUGACAUAUAAAUGCCUCAGAGACUGAUGUAUUUUAUAUGGAGGUAAAGCAAAUGUAACAAACUGUUAAUAGUUGGUGGAUCUAAGUGAUGAGUCUA